AUGGGGAAGGAUGAGAAGCUUCGACUAAGGUUCGACUCGAGCGCCAGCGAGAGAACGUUGCCGCAGGCAACGGCCCGAAGGGCGAGGAGCGAUAGCGACGAGUUAUCCUUCCCCCACCACUG
rnacentral:sRNA from 1 species